rnacentral:rRNA from 1 species
AGUGAACGCUGGCGGUAGGCCUAACACAUGCAAGUCGAACGGCAGCACAGUAAGAGCUUGCUCUUACGGGUGGCGAGUGGCGGACGGGUGAGGAAUACAUCGGAAUCUACUUUUUCGUGGGGGAUAACGUAGGGAAACUUACGCUAAUACCGCAUACGACCUACGGGUGAAAGCAGGGGAUCUUCGGACCUUGCGCGAUUGAAUGAGCCGAUGUCGGAUUAGCUAGUUGGCGGGGUAAAGGCCCACCAAGGCGACGAUCCGUAGCUGGUCUGAGAGGAUGAUUCGCCAAAAUGGGACUGAGACACGGGCCAAACUCCUACGGGAGGCAGCAGGGGGGAAAAUUGGGCAAUGGGGGGAAAGCCGACCCAGCAAAGCCGCGUGGGGGAAAAAGGGCCUCGGGUUUGAAAACCCUUUUGUUGGGGAAAAAAAAGAGGGGGGUUAACCCCCCGGUUUUUGACGGGAACCAAAAAAAAAGCCACGGCUAAACUCGGU